ACCAUUUCAAAUCAAUUCAAAAAUCAAAAUGGCAAUCAUACAAUUGGUCAUUUUCUUGACAGCAGGCGCUUUGGCAGCAGCUCAAGGCCAGUUUUAUAUCAACGGUAACAACAC
rnacentral:rRNA from 1 species